GCUAUGUCCGAUUCGGGCUGGAUUUGAACCUGCCGCAGGUUCGAGUCAAGACAGCGUCGUCUGCGACGACCCGUAAGGGUGAGGCCAGUGGCCGAAUAAUCCUGCACGACCCACCA
rnacentral:sRNA from 1 species